AACGCGAAGAACCUUACCAAGUCUUGACAUCUGGAUGACCGUCCCGUAACAGGGGCUUCCCUACGGGGCAUCCAAGACAGGUGGUGCAUGGUUGUCGUCAGCUCGUGUCGUGAGAUGUUGGGUUAAGUCCCGCAACGAGCGCAACCCCUAUUUUCAGUAGCCAGCAGGUAAGGCUGGGCACUCUGGAGAGACUGCCAGGGAUAACCUGGAGGAAGGUGGGGAUGACGUCAAAUCAUCAUGCCCCUUAUGAUUUGGGCUACACACGUGCUACAAUGGUGAUUACAAAGUGAAGCAACAGGGUGACCUUGAGCAAACCACAAAAAAAUCAUCUCAGUUCGGAUUGUAGUCUGCAACUCGACUACAUGAAGCUGGAAUCGCUAGUAAUCGCGAAUCAGAAUGUCGCGGUGAAUACGUUCCCGGGUCUUGUACACACCG
rnacentral:rRNA from 1 species